ACAAAAUCUGGUCAGCGAAUCCGAAAAAUAUUUGCGACGAAUUCGGAAACAUGGAAAGUUUGCGUAUUCAUCAGCGAUGUUUGCAGAUUUGGAAAAAUUGCUUCCGAUAUCGAAACAAAAUGCUUUCAAAAUCGAAAACAUCUUGUUGCCGGUUAAUUUGAGCGUGUACCAUGCCGCAGCCAAUGCGUUACGAAAUGUCAGAAUCAGCUGCGCAAGAGAGAAAAGCAAAACAACAAUCUCUUGCACGCUUGUUUGUUUUUUUUUCGACUCGUGCAUUUCGUUGGUUUUUCGCCGCGAUUUCGGUGCAUUUAAUCCGCUUUGCUGUCCAACCCAGUCCGCCGCCGUUGGAUACACCGGACUCCACUGACCUUUUUCUACUCUAUAACUGGAAUCUGGUCAGUACCCGGUUAUCUGUAGAGUCCCCAUCCGCGAAGAGUUCCGCGUGAUACUGCGCAUCCCUUAGAAAGUCGUUCCUUCAAGGGAAACACAACGGCCACGGAUUACGCCGGUGGUAACAGCCGCGGCAGAUGUGCUUCCUGGCCACUCUAAGAAAAAUCUCUGGCAGCUGCCGUUGUUUUCGAAAAGCUGGUUCAAAGUUUUGUUCAGAUUUCGUGAUUGCAAGCUUCCUUCUCCCGGACACCAAGAACGAGCACCUGGACCUACGGCUCGCAGUUGCACCGUGAGUUCAGCAAACACCUUCACAGAUCCAACUGCUGGCGGAGAUUCUGGGAACUUGUUCCAGGCGGACGGUCUUCUAGUGGAGGCCACUCCGCUCAAGUCGAUUCUCGAGGUGAAGGUCGGCGGUCAACCUCCAGGGCUUCUGGCGGUACGCGAAUCCGCUCAAGGGACGUGCCAGCUCGUUGCGCGACGCUGGAAAUCAGCCAGAUUGACGACCCGAGCAUGCUGCACCGGUCUCAGCACCUCUAUCCGGGUGGCCCCGACGCCGAGUAACAUGCUAACGGUGGCACCGACGCCCAGCAGUAACCUGCUGCCCCGCGGACAUCCAGGACGACUAGAUCAGAAUAACCGAAAUUCCGUAGUAAACCACUCAAACAA